GCAGGAAUCGUAUGGAGCACAACUCAGCAGCGCAGUGUUAUCGCCCCUCAAAGGAAAGAGAUGCACAGCUUUGAGAAAGCGUGCGUUGCAAAGUUUUCCUGGUUGGCAAAACAUCGAGUGUGAAAUUAUGAGCUCCUCCACCUAAAGGCAGAAGAACAGCUUGUUCGAGGCAGCUCCGCUAAACACCGAUUUCAACGCCGCAUCCAAGCCGAAGUUACAACCGGUAACAAGCAGGAGUUACAAAGCGGCUAAGCGAGGUCGACGAAGAGCAGAGUCUGGUUUCUCGGUGUCCUCGCUCAGGGCGGAAACGCAACGUUCACGACGAACUAUUCUCUCCUUAGGUUUGGCCUCUUGAACAUGGAUGACCAGAAGCAUACACAAUAAUCCAGUCAGCACCCUGUGGAAAUCCGGUGUUUUGGCUGGAGAACGGAGCGGCUGUGGAGCUCGAACUGUUGAAGUUUCCGGAGACCAGAUAAACCGCGCUGCCGAGGCGCAAACAGGGAGGGCACAACCCCACCGAGGCGGCUCUGAGGCGGCGCGG